UACGUAGGGGGCAAGCGUUGUCCGGAUUUAUUGGGCGUAAAGCGCUCGCAGGUGGUUCGUCGCGUCGUGCGUGAAAGACCCCGGCUCAACUGGGGGGAGGUCGUGCGAUACGGGCGGACGUGGGAGGCCAGGUAGGGGGACUGGCGGAAUUCCGGGUGGUAGUGGUGGAAUGCGUAGAGAUCCGGAGGAACACCAGCGGCGAAGGCGGCAUCCUGGACUGGUCCUGACACUCAGGAGCGAAAGCGUGGGGAGCGAGUCCGG
rnacentral:rRNA from 1 species